CGCACAUUGCGCCCCUUGGUAUUCCGGGGGGCAUGCCUGUUCGAGCGUCAUUUCAACCCUCAAGCUUAGCUUGGUAUUGAGUCUAUGUCAGUAAUGGCAGGCUCUAAAAUCAGUGGCGGCGCCGCUGGGUCCUGAACGUAGUAAUUAUCUCUCGUUACAGGUUCUCGGUGUGCUUCUGCCAAAACCCAAAUUUUUCUAUGGUUGACCUCGGAUCAGGUAGGGAUACCCGCUGAACUUAA
rnacentral:misc_RNA from 1 species